rnacentral:rRNA from 1 species
UACGUAGGGCGCGAGCGUUGUCCGGAAUUAUUGGGCGUAAAGAGCUCGUAGGCGGCUUGUCGCGUCGGUUGUGAAAGCCCGGGGCUUAACCCCGGGUCUGCAGUCGAUACGGGCAGGCUAGAGUUCGGUAGGGGAGAUCGGAAUUCCUGGUGUAGCGGUGAAAUGCGCAGAUAUCAGGAGGAACACCGGUGGCGAAGGCGGAUCUCUGGGCCAUUACUGACGCUGAGGAGCGAAAGCGUGGGGAGCGAACAGG